GACGAACGCUGGCGGCGUGCUUAACACAUGCAAGUCGAACGAAAUUGCGAACGGGUGAGUAACGCGUAAUCAACCUGCCCUUAAGAGGGGGACAACAGUUGGAAACGACUGCUAACACCGCAUACUUGGGGUGGGGAUUGCGUCUGAUGAGCUAGUUGGAGGGGUAAAGGCCCACAAAGGCGAUUAUCAGUAGCCGGUCUGAGAGGAUGAACGGCCACAUUGGGACUGGGACAUGGCCCAGACUCCUACGGGAGGCAGCAGGGGGGAAUCUUCCGCAAUGGACGAAAGUCUGACGGAGCAACGCCGCGUGAGUGACGACGGCCUUCGGGUUGUAAAGAUCUGUUAAUCGGGACGCGGUACCGGAAUAGAAAGCCACGGCUAAAUACGUGCCAGCAGCCGCGGUAAUUC
rnacentral:rRNA from 1 species